rnacentral:rRNA from 1 species
UCAUUGAUGACAUCUGAUUUGAAUUAAAGAUUUAUCGGUAUAGGAUGGGGAUGCGUCUGAUUAGCUUGUUGGUGAGGUAACGGCUCACCAAGGCCACGAUCAGUAGGGGUUCUGAGAGGAAGGUCCCCCACAUUGGAACUGAGACACGGUCCAAACUCCUACGGGAGGCAGCAGUGAGGAAUAUUGGUCAAUGGACGAGAGUCUGAACCAGCCAAGUAGCGUGCAGGAUGACGGCCCUAUGGGUUGUAAACUGCUUUUGUUUGGGAAUAAUCGACAUUACGUGUAAUGUUUGCAUGUACCAUUCGAAUAAGGACCGGCUAAUUCCCGUGCCAGCAGCCGCGGUAAAU